rnacentral:rRNA from 1 species
ACGAAGUUAGCCGGGCGUUAUUCUGCGGGUACCGUCAUUAUCGUCCCCGCCAAAAGAGCUUUACAACCCUAAGGCCUUCGUCACUCACGCGGCAUGGCUGGAUCAGGCUUGCGCCCAUUGUCCAAUAUUCCCC